GGGCCAUUAGCUCAGCUGGUUAGAGCACAGGCCUUUUAAGCCUGGUGUCCUGGGUUCGAGUCCCAGAUGGCCCUCCA
rnacentral:tRNA from 1 species